CCUACGGGAGGCAGCAGUGGGGAAUAUUGGGCAAUGGGCGCAAGCCUGACCCAGCAACGCCGCGUGAAGGAAGAAGGCUUUCGGGUCGUAAACUUCUUUUCUCAGGGACGAAGCAAGUGACGGUACCCGAGGAAUAAGCCACGGCUAACUACGUGCCAGCAGCCGCGGUAAUACGUAGGUGGCAAGCGUUAUCCGGAUUUACUGGGUGUAAAGGGCGUGUAGGCGGGGACGCAAGUCAGAUGUGAAAACCACGGGCUCAACCUGUGGCCUGCAUUUGAAACUGUGUUUCUUGAGUACUGGAGAGGCGGACGGAACUCCUAGUGUAGCGGUGAAAUGCGUAGAUAUUAGGAGGAACACCAGUGGCGAAGGCGGUCUGCUGGACAGCAACUGACGCUGAGGCGCGAAAGCGUGGGGAGCAAACAGGAUUAGAUACCCCUGUAGUC
rnacentral:rRNA from 1 species